rnacentral:rRNA from 1 species
GCGUAGGAACGUAUCCAGAGGUGGGGGACAACCCCGGGAAACUGGGGCUAAUACCGCAUAUGAGCCGAGGCUCAAAGCAGUGAUGCGCCUUUGGAGCGGCCUGCGUCCGAUUAGCUAGUUGGUGGGGUAAAGGCCUACCAAGGCCGCGAUCGGUAGCUGGUCUGAGAGGACGACCAGCCACACUGGGACUGAGACACGGCCCAGACUCCUACGGGAGGCAGCAGUGGGGAAUAUUGGACAAUGGGCGCAAGCCUGAUCCAGCAAUGCCGCGUGUGUGAAGAAGGUCUUCGGAUCGUAAAG